rnacentral:lncRNA from 1 species
AUCUAGCCCCUCUUCUAACUGAAGGCCCUCAUCUUCUACUUGACUAGCUUAUAAUGUAGGUCAACAUUGAGCCUUUAACGGGAUACCUCCAUCUCUAUGCCCAACAUAUCCUCAUGCGACUAGGCAAAUACGUCACUAAACUCUUGCAAAAAGGUGAUCAAUUGCUCUUUGUUUUACUCCGUGAGAUGGGCGCCAACGUUGACACCCUUUGUGGGGUUAUCUUCCUUAAUAAGUAUAGAAACAAGGUUUUCUGAUGGCAUACCCCAGUUUUCUUCCUUAGUGAUUUAUGGAUCUAAUGGCACUUCAAUCAAUUCUGGUGAAUCAUUGCAAUUAUUGCCCUUGGAGCUUGUGGAGAUCAAUAGAGUCAACCUACAUGGAGGUUUCCUCACUAUGGUAUUCUUUUGAUACCAACUUCAUUGUUUUUUUUUCCAAGCAUUUCCUAUUUCUUUUUAUAAUAGCACGCCUGGUCAUUUUAGCGAGAAAAAUGGUGAUUUUCUCAUUGGAGGCUAUUUCAUAGCUAACCUUUGAUGUUGUUGUGUAAAAUUAGUGAGCAAUCUGUUGAUCUCCUUUGAUGAUGAACACAAAUUUUAGAGUUAGGGAUUUUCACAACAAGGUAGUGCAUGGAAAUAGCUACUCUAGUGGUAGCUAGAAAUGGUAGACCCAAAAUAAUGUUAUAGGCCUGUGGGUUAUCCACCACUACGAAAUUGAUACCAGUCGGGGUCUGUUGAGUGUUAGAAAAUGUAUAUUUAUAAAGGAGAAAAUCGUCAUUUUACAUUUCAAGUCUUACUAACACUCUUACUUUUAUGUAUUUAACCUUCUUGUGAUUUAAUUACGUGUGUUUUAUUUUAAUUAAGUAUUUUAUGUAUUUUAGGGGCAUCAUGGUCAUUUCACAAUGAAUGAGAAAUCAAACGGCAAAACGGACAUCACUUUUGAACUCAGGACGGUCGAAAACCUUAGAAGGAGCCUAAAAAGAAAAAUGGUAUUGUUCACAUGUACGGUACUAUUCACAUGUACGGUACCGUCUGUUACUGUUCAUGACACUGUUCACAUAGACG